rnacentral:lncRNA from 1 species
UCUUCCGUGGACCUCCAAGAAAGCCAUCUAUUUUAAAGAGGAACAAGGUUGAUCCACUGACUCCUCCCCAGGAACUGAAGCUGGUUUGGAGCCCCCAUAGUGGUGUGGAAGGGAGCCAAUCAUUUCACCUGCUGCUCAAUGCAGCUUACGCAUGCAUCUUGCUAAAGAUGAUGACCCAGCAACCUGAGCUGAUGAGGUGGUGGGUCUCAGUCCACUCUAAACAAGCUUGCAUCGUUUUAGCAGCCGACUGCACUUAUCUUUUGAGCUUUGAACCAUGCCCCAGUGGGGCAUGCUUCUUGAUCUCAUUGAUACUGGAGUUGGCCAUGUGAUUUGCUUCGGCCAAAAGUUUGAUAAAUGUGUCAUGAAAUGGAGCCUUCCAUGCGUCUGCACACUGGACUUGUGUUCAGAGCUCCACUCUGAGAAGUACAUAUGCCAAGUGACCAUGGAUCUGGGGAGGAUCAGAGACAUGUGGAACAGGUAUGUGACCAGCCAACAGCCCAGUGCGGGUGAUCUGUGCCUACAGAAGAGUCACUUGGCUGUGGCCCACCUACGACCCUCGAAUUCAGUUGUCAUAGGGCACUGGGAUUGUUCUAUAGCAUUAUGGUGACAAGAGCUGACUACAUUAACUGUGUCUGAUGGUCUUCUCCCAGGGCUCCUUGGAGAGAAUUUUGUAUAUGCCACAGACUCUGCAUAAGAAGACUAAAUUUUAAGUUAGUCUGGCCACUUUUCACAAUGUAGUACUAUGCAUUUAUAUAUCACAUAUCAUUAAACCUUCAUUAGGGCCGGACAGCAUGGAAGUAAGAGUAAGAACACAGCUCCUGAGCUUUUAAACUUUAAAGCCUGAUGGACUUAGGUAACCAUAUAAAUAAAUGGCAUAAUUACAAGUGGAGGUAAAAUCCC